GAUGAACGCUGGCGGCAGGCCUAACACAUGCAAGUCGAGCGGACACACGAGGGACUUUCUCCUCUGAGGGGAGCGGCGGGCGCGUGAGUGACACGCGGAUGACCCACCUCAAUUACUGGGAUAAAUCCCGGGAAACCGGGCCAAAUACGGCAUACGUACUACGGCUGAAAGCAGAAUAUUUUCAGACGAUGUUCCGGUGGCUUAGACGAGGCCCGCUGCGGCAUUAGGUAGUUGGAAAGGUAACGGCUGACCAAGGCAACGAUUCGUAGCCGAUCUGAGAGGGUGAUCAGCCGCACUGGAACUGAGACACGGCCCAGACUCCUACGGGAGGCAGCAGUGGGGAAUCUUGCACAAUGGGCGCAAGCCUGACCGAGCCACGCCGCGUGUGUGAUGAAGGUCUUCGGGUCGUAAAGCUCUUUUGUUAGGAAAGAACAACUGCGUGAGUAACUACGCAUGUCUUGACGGUACCCAAUGAAUAAGCACCGGCUAACUACGUG
rnacentral:rRNA from 1 species